rnacentral:rRNA from 1 species
CCUACGGGGGACAGCAGUGGGGAAUAUUGGGCAAUGGGCGCAAGCCUGACCCAGCAACGCCGCGUGAAGGAAGAAGGCUUUCGGGUUGUAAACUUCUUUUAAGAGGGAAGAGCAGAAGACGGUACCUCGUGAAUAAGCCACGGCUAACUACGUGCCAGCAGCUGCGGUAAUACGUAGGUGGCAAGCGUUGUCCGGAUUUACUGGGUGUAAAGGGCGUGUAGCCGGGCUGACAAGUCAGAGGUGAAAUUCCGGGGCUCAACCCCGGAACUGCAUUUGAAACUGUUGGUCUUGAGUAUCGGAGAGGCAGGCGGAAUUCCUAGUGUAGCGGUGAAAUGCGUAGAUAUUAGGAGGAACACCAGUGGCGAAGGCGGCCUGCUGGACGACAACUGACGGUGAGGCGCGAAAGCGUGGGGAGCAAACAGGAUUAGAUACCCUAGUAGUC